rnacentral:tRNA from 1 species
CAGAUUAGAGCUUGAUUAGUAAAGCAUUUUAUUUACAUUAAAAUUAAGUUGUGCAAUUCAAUAUAGUUUGA